UUCAGUGCCGCAGUUAACACAAUAAGUAAUCCACCUGGGGAGUACGACCGCAAGGUUGAAACUCAAAGGAAUUGACGGGGGCCCGCACAAGCAGUGGAGUAUGUGGUUUAAUUCGACGCAACGCGAAGAACCUUACCAAGUCUUGACAUCCUCUGACGAUGCUGGAAACAGUAUUUUCCUUCGGGACAGAGAGACAGGUGGUGCAUGGUUGUCGUCAGCUCGUGUCGUGAGAUGUUGGGUUAAGUCCCGCAACGAGCGCAACCCUUAUGGAUAGUUACUACGCAAGAGGACUCUAUUCAGACUGCCGUUGACAAAACGGAGGAAGGUGGGGAUGACGUCAAAUCAUCAUGCCCUUUAUGACUUGGGCUACACACGUACUACAAUGGCGUUCAACAAAGAGAAGCGAAAUCGCGAGAUGGAGCAAAACUCAAAAACAACGUCCCAGUUCAGAUUGCAGGCUGCAACUCGCCUGCAUGAAGUCGGAAUUGCUAGUAAUCGCAGAUCAGCAUGCUGCGGUGAAUACGUUCCCGGGCCUUGUACACACCGCCCGU
rnacentral:rRNA from 1 species